UACGUUCCCGGGCCUUGUACACACCGCCCGUCAAGCCAUGGAAGCUGGGGGUGCCUGAAGUCGGUGACCGCAAGGAGCUGCCUAAGGGUAAAAACUAGUAACUAGGGCU
rnacentral:rRNA from 1 species